rnacentral:rRNA from 1 species
UACGGAGGGGGCAAGCGUUGUUCGGAAUUACUGGGCGUAAAGGGCGCGUAGGCGGCCUGUUGCGUCAGGUGUGAAAGCCCCGGGCUCAAACUGGGAUGUGCACUUGAUACGGGCGGGCUGGAAUCCGGGAGAGGAUGGUGGAAUUCCCAGUGUAGAGGUGAAAUUCGUAGAUAUUGGGAAGAACACCGAUGGCGAAGGCAGCCAUCUGGACCGGCAUUGACGCUGAGGCGCGAAAGCGUGGGGAGCAAACAGG